UAGCGUAAUCAUUUGUUCUUUAAUUGAGGACUAGUAUGAACGGCCCCACGAGGACUAUACUGUCUCCUUUUUCUGAUCAGUGAAACUGAUCUCCUCGUGAAGAAGCGAGGAUAAACAUAUAAGACGAGAAGACCCUAUGGAGCUUUAAACAACAGAUAUUUGCUAAUAAUCAAUUUUAUUUCUGAAAACUAAACAAAUUUAAAGCACUUUACUCUUAAGUUUUAGGUUGGGGUGACCACGGAGAAAAAAUCAACCUCCACGUUGUAAGAGGCCCCUUGGCCUCUAAGCUAAAAGCCACAGCUUAAAGCAUCAGCACACUGACCUCCAUUGACCCAAUAAUUUGAUCAACGAACCAAGUUACCCUAGGGAUAACAGCGCAAUCUACUUUGAGAGCUCAUAUCGACAAGUAGGUUUACGACCUCGAUGUU
rnacentral:rRNA from 1 species